rnacentral:rRNA from 1 species
UACGUAGGGUGCAAGCGUUGUCCGGAAUUAUUGGGCGUAAAGAGCUCGUAGGCGGCUUGUCGCGUCGAAUGUGAAAUCUCGGGGCUCAACUCCGAGCUUGCAUUCGAUACGGGCAGGCUAGAGUUCGGUAGGGGAGACUGGAAUUCCUGGUGUAGCGGUGAAAUGCGCAGAUAUCAGGAGGAACACCGGUGGCGAAGGCGGGUCUCUGGGCCGAUACUGACGCUGAGGAGCGAAAGCGUGGGGAGCGAACAGG